UACGGAGGGUGCAAGCGUUGUUCGGAAUUACUGGGCGUAAAGCGCGUGUAGGCGGCUUGGCAAGUCGGAUGUGAAAUCCUCGGGCUCAACCCGAGAACUGCAUCCGAAACUGCUUCGCUAGAGUCUCGGAGAGGAAGGCAGAAUUCCCAGUGUAGGGGUGAAAUCCGUAGAUAUCUGGAGGAACACCGGUGGCGAAGGCGGCAUCCUGGACCGGCAUUGACGCUGAGGCGCGAAAGCUAGGGGAGCAAACGGG
rnacentral:rRNA from 1 species